rnacentral:rRNA from 1 species
AGCGAACGCUGGCGGCAGGCUUAACACAUGCAAGUCGAGCGGGCACCCUCGGGUGUCAGCGGCGGACGGGUGAGUAACGCGUGGGAACGUGCCUUCUGGUUCGGAAUAACCCUGGGAAACUAGGGCUAAUACCGGAUACGCCCUUUUGGGGAAAGGUUUACUGCCGGAAGAUCGGCCCGCGUCUGAUUAGCUAGUUGGUGGGGUAACGGCCUACCAAGGCGACGAUCAGUAGCUGGUCUGAGAGGAUGAUCAGCCACACUGGGACUGAGACACGGCCCAGACGCCUACGGGAGGCAGCAGUGGGGAAUAUUGGACAAUGGGCGCAAGCCUGAUCCAGCCAUGCCGCGUGAGUGAUGAAGGCCUUAGGGUUGUAAAGCUCUUUUAUCCGGGACGAUAAUGACGGUACCGGAGGAAUAAGCCCCGGCUAACUUCGUGCCAGCAGCCGCGGUAA